rnacentral:rRNA from 1 species
CAGUCGCCGCGGUAAUACGGAGGGGGCUAGCGUUGUUCGGAAUUACUGGGCGUAAAGCGCACGUAGGCGGUUUUGUAAGUCAGAGGUGAAAGCCCGGAGCUCAACUCCGGAACUGCCUUUGAGACUGCAUCACUUGAACGUCGGAGAGGUGAGUGGAAUUCCGAGUGUAGAGGUGAAAUUCGUAGAUAUUCGGAAGAACACCAGUGGCGAAGGCGGCUCACUGGACGACUGUUGACGCUGAGGUGCGAAAGCGUGGGGAGCAAACAGGAUUAGAUACCCCCGUAGUCCCUGUCUCUUAUAC